rnacentral:rRNA from 1 species
UACGUAGGGGGCAAGCGUUGUCCGGAUUUAUUGGGCGUAAAGAGCGUGUAGGCGGCUUGGUAGGUCCGCUGUGAAAACUCGAGGCUCAACCUCGAGACGCCGGUGGAAACCAUCAGGCUAGAGUCCGGAAGAGGAGAGUGGAAUUCCUGGUGUAGCGGUGAAAUGCGCAGAGAUCAGGAAGAACAUCGGUGGCGAAGGCGCUCUGCUGGACCAUAACUGACACUCAGGGACGAAAGCUAGGGGAGCGAAUGGG